UACAGGGGGGGCAAGCGUUGUUCGGAAUUACUGGGCGUAAAGGGCCAGUAGGCGGCCAACUAAGUCCGACGUGAAAUCCCCAGGCUUAACCUGGGAACUGCGUCGGAUACUGGAUGGCUUGAAUCCGGGAGAGGGAUGCAGAAUUCCAGGUGUAGCGGUGAAAUGCGUAGAUAUCUGGAGGAAUACCGGUGGCGAAGGCGGCAUCCUGGACCGGCAUUGACGCUGAUGAGCGAAAGCUAGGGGAGCAAACGGG
rnacentral:rRNA from 1 species